rfam:Paxillus involutus ATCC 200175 unplaced genomic scaffold PAXINscaffold_30, whole genome shotgun sequence.
GCAUCAGUGGUGUAGCGGUAACAUUGGGUCUUCCCAUGGCCUAGCUCCGGGUUCGACUCCCGGCUGAUGCA